CCACUUGAUAGAGGCGCGGGCACGAAGAGCCGCGGGCGAGCCGGCAGGCUUUGACCCCGUGGGGAGGCGAAACCCGCCGAACUGGGUUUUACGGGCACGAACAACCUGGUGGGCCUGUGGGAAACACCCACAGGACUGUCUGCAGCAAUGCGGGAGCGCUAUCCGGACA
rnacentral:ncRNA from 2 species